UACGGAGGGGGCUAGCGUUGUUCGGAAUUACUGGGCGUAAAGCGCACGUAGGCGGCUUUGCAAGUCAGAGGUGAAAGCCCGGGGCUCAACCCCGGAAUUGCCUUUGAGACUGCAUCGCUAGAAUUGUGGAGAGGCAAGUGGAAUUCCGAGUGUAGAGGUGAAAUUCGUAGAUAUUCGGAAGAGCACCAGUGGCGAAGGCGACUUACUGGACACAUAUUGACGCUGAGGUGCGAAAGCGUGGGGAGCAAACAGG
rnacentral:rRNA from 1 species